UUGAUCCUGCGGAAGGUUGCUGCUAUUGGAGUCCGAUUUAGCCAUGCAAGUCACGGGGGCGUAAGCCACCGGCGAACUGCUCAGUAACACGUCGAUAACUUCCCUUUAGGUCAGGGAUAGCCUCGGGAAACUGAGAGUAAUACCUGAUAAGAAACGUCGUUUGGAACGAGACGUUUCUGAAAGGCAACGCCUAAAGAUAGGUCGGCGGCCGAUUAGGUUGUUGGUGGGGUAAUGGCCCACCAAGCCGAAGAUCGGUAGGGGUCUUGGGAGAGGGAGCCUCGAGAGGGAAACUGAGAUACUGUUCCCAGUUCUACGGGGUGCAGUAGGCGUGAAAACUUUACACUGUAUGAAAGUGUGAUAAGGGGAUUCCAAGUGCUCAUGCACAGCAUGGGCUUUUGUUAAAGGUAAACACUUUGGCGAAUAAGUGGUGGGAAAGACCGGUGCCAGUAGCUGUGGUAAUUCCGGCGCCACGAGUGGCAACCCUGUUUAUUGGGCCUAAAGCGUCCGUAGCCGGUUAUGUAAAUCUCUUGUGAAAUUGUAGGGUUUAACCUUGCAAAGUGCAGGAGAUAUUGCAUGACCUGGGACUGGGAGGAGUCAGAGGUAUUCUGGGGGGGGCGGUAAAAUGCUAUAAUCCUUGGAGGAUUAUUUGUGGUGAAGGCGUCUGACCAGAACAGAUCCGACGGUGAGGGACGAAAGCUAGGGGAGCGACUCGGAUUAGAUACUCGAUUAGUCCUAGCUGUAAAUGCUGCGAGCUAGGUGUUGCAUAUUCUUUAAGGAUGUGCAGUGUCGUAGUGAAGGCAUUAAGCUCGCCGCCUGGGAAGUAUAGCCGCAAGGCCGAAACUUAAAGGAAUUGGCGGGGGAGCACUACAAGGGGUGCGGCGUGCGGUUUAAUCUAACUUAAUGUAGAGAACCUCACCAGGGUUGACGGCAGGAUGAAAGUUAGUCUGAAGGGCUUACUUGAUGAGCCGAGAGGAGGUGCAUGGCCGUCGUUAGCUCGUGUUGUGAGAUGUCCUGUUAAGUCAGGCAACGAGCAAGACCUGUACCCAUAAUUGCCAUAGGUAGUGUUUGCACUGGAUCUGGAAUGUUAUGGGGACUGCCUGGGAAACCAGGAGGAAGGCGCAGGCUACGGUAGGUCUGUAUGCCUCGAAUACUCUGGGUUACACGCGCGCAACAAUGGUAGGAACAAUGGGACGCAACUCCGAAAGGAGAAGCUAAUCCUCCAAAACCUAUCCUAGUCCGACUCUGGUGAAUGUGUCCCUGCUCCUUGCACACACCGCCCGUCAAACCAACCGAGCAGGGUUUAGAUGAGUCUUAGGAUAUUUGCCUAAUCCGAAUCUAAGCUCAGUGAGGUGGGUUAAGUCGUCACAAGGUAGCCGUAGGGGAACCUGCGGCUG
rnacentral:rRNA from 1 species